rnacentral:ncRNA from 1 species
CACCGACAAAGGCAAACCAGUCGAAAGGCUGGGACGCAAAGCUAAAGGGCCUGUUAUAUGGCAGCCAGCUACCGAA